UGGCGGCUAUGGCGCGGUGGUCACACCUGUUCCCAUCCCGAACACAGAAGUUAAGCACCGCAGUGGCGAAGGUAGUCGGGCGACCGGCAAGAAUAG
rnacentral:rRNA from 1 species